CAAAGAUUCAGGUCACCGAGACGGUUAGUUUUCGAUCGGUCACGUGACUCAACAUGCUGCCAUCAAGAGGAAUAAUCUCACAUAAACAGCUUUGAUCUCCAGUUUUCAAGUGUUCAUUUCUGGUAUAUAGUCCUGCUUCACGUUCCUGGCAGUCUUUGAGUCCCCAGAGUGAUGGUGUGAACCGGCACGGUGCACACAUGACAAAAGAAAGGCCUGUGGCCCACCUGAGUGUGAUUGAAAUCUCUCCUCUAUGGGAGACGGUGUCUCCUUGCCCUCCCAUAGAAUCAAUCUGUUUAUCUAAGGCCCGGUGCUCGUGACACAUACAUUUGCGUUGGUCAAAAUGAAAAGAAAGUGGGAAAGAGAGUGGGACUGGCCUCUCCAGAUGCCUGGCAGUGGCAUGGAACAAAUUAACAUAAAUGUCAUUGUCAGAAUGGAAUGAAGACAAAAUCUAGUCCUGCAAGCAAGCUGUGCUGCCAGCUGAUGACAAGGAG
ensembl:lncRNA